ACGAAAGGAAGGCACAUAAAAUGCCUGCACAUAACGGUGCCUAAGUGAUCUGAUCGUUUAUGCGUGUCGUGUCGUGUUUUUUCUUCUUUCACUUUUAUCCACAUCUCGUUCUCGUUCUCUAUCAAUGCCAAAAACUACGAAAUUUAAUGUGAAACGGGCCGUAAAAAAGUUUUGUGUCCAUGCAGCAAAUGCAGCAACAACAACAACAGCAACAACAACAAAAAUCAGCCAAAAAGUUUGCUGUUGUCAAAAGUUUUGAUGACUUUGCGCAUAAAAUAUGCUGGCAACAUUUCCAUCUUUGGCAGCAAAGUGUUAAAGAGCCUUAAAAGAACCGUAUUGACCAAGUGCUUAAGAGUAGCCACGCCCGCUACGAAUGUGAGAUGGCAAUUGUAAUCGAUUGCAAUUGAAAUUGAAUUGCAUAUUCAAUAGAGUCGAUUGGACGAAGAGGCGGCAGCACACGCCAGGCGCCAAGGUGUAAGCCUGGUGCAAGAUAUUCGCCAAUCUGUGGACGCGUCUACGUUCGCCACG